rnacentral:lncRNA from 1 species
CAAAAUACAUAAUUGAGGCUAUCAGCGCAAAAGUGGUGUAACCCCAGACUACUUACUUAGGAGAUAAUAAGGAAUUAAAAUUUGGGUAAACUGAUUUUUAAUUUAAUUUUUUUUGUAAACAUUAUUUUAAUUGUUUUGUUUUUGAUUUAUAAAAAAUACUUUAGAAUCUACACUAAUUGUAUAGUUUUGUGUUAAUUAAGCUAAUAAUUAGAAAAAAAAUGUGGGUUACACCACUUCUGCACGUAUCAUAUUUUGGUUGUAUGUGAAAUAAUAAACAGGUUACACCACAUGACGACAAGUUUUAUUAGGAAACAAUGCAAAUAGUACAUAGUUAUGGUAAUUCUUCGUCUGACUCAUAAUGAAACACUUCAUCCUGGACUCUGUUGGAACUAUUAAGGCUAUUAUAGAAAGUAUGAUGUACUGGCGGGAUGAACU